rnacentral:misc_RNA from 1 species
UCCGGCUUAUCACCGGCAGUUUCCCCAGAGUUCUCGGCAUUACCCGUUAGCAACAGGGGACGAGGGUUGCGCUCGUUGCGGGACUUAACCCAACAUCUCACGACACGAGCUGACGACAGCCAUGCAGCACCUGUGCUCCUCCCACCCGAAGUGAAGGGAUCCAUCUCUGGGUCCCAUAGAGGGCAUGUCAAGGCCUGGUAAGGUUCUUCGCGUUGCCUCGAAUUGAACCACAUGUUCCACCGCUUGUGCGGGUCCCCGUCAAUUCCUUUAAGUUUCAACCUUGCGGCCGUACUCCCCAGGCGGGAUGCUUAACGCGUUAGCUACGCCACUGAGGGGGAACCCCCCAACGGCUAGCAUCCAUCGUUUAGGGCGCGGACUAC